CCAGGCGGCACAUACAUGAUCCCAGACACCGAAGUAACCUCUGUCUCACUCCUCCACUUCCAGCAAGGGAUGGAAAACAAACUGAAACUGGCUCAAGUGAAGGCUCACUGGAAGGCUUACUGGAAAACUUACUGGAAGGAUGUGAGGAGAUGUUCGGGAAUCUAUUUGCAGAAAACAUGUUUAGCCCUGUCCACCACAGCCAGCUGGCUGAAGAGCUCAAAAGGCAAGAAAUCAGCAAGAGAGAGAUUUGAAGCAUGAGAAAUGAGCAAAAAACACCCAGCACAUCAUAAUCAUGGACAGUUUAGCAGUACAUGAAAAUAGAUGGUCCUCACCCCAAGGGACUGCAGUAACCCUGAAUAAACAGGAUGUCUCUCACUUUUAGCAGUUCUUUCUGUGCUAGUAUUGGGGAAAUAUAUUUUUGGCUGCAUGCAAAAUGGUAAAAGACAUCUAUUAAGAAAAUGAAAACAAUGCUUCUGUUUUAGACGAAGCUUUUGAAGGUUUAAGGAUCACCUAUUUAUUGACAAAAUUGUUUCCGUGGCUUAAAAAUAAAAUACAAACAAAUACUA